UUUGAUAAAGAUGUCAAACCACAAAAAGCAUUUGCUGAAUUACAAGAAUUUACAUGAACAAAAAAUAAGCAGGGGAAAUGAGCUUUUCAACAGAAUAUGAAACUAACAAUUCAAGCUCAAUCAAAUUUUUUUUAUAUAUUAUUUUUUUGUUUUGAUUUUAUUCUCUUUUUUUUCGUUUUCUUUUCAUUUUGAUUUUUUAGAGUAAACUAAAAUUCAACAAUUCAAAUGAUGAAACAUAGUCAGGUAACUAACCAAAUCAAAUAUCG
rnacentral:lncRNA from 1 species